rnacentral:tRNA from 1 species
UCAAGAAGUAGUUUAAUUUAAAAAUAUUAAUUUUGGAGAUUAAUGUCAGGUUUACACCUUUUCUUGAU